GCUUACACAUGCAAGUCGAACGAUGGUACCCCAGCUUGCUGGGGGGAUUAGUGGCGAACGGGUGAGUAACACGUGAGUAACCUGCCCUUGACUCUGGGAUAAGCCUGGGAAACUGGGUCUAAUACCGGAUACGACCGCUCACCGCAUGGUGUGGUGGUGGAAAGCUUUUGCGGUUUUGGAUGGACUCGCGGCCUAUCAGCUUGUUGGUGGGGUAAUGGCCUACCAAGGCGACGACGGGUAGCCGGCCUGAGAGGGUGACCGGCCACACUGGGACUGAGACACGGCCCAGACUCCUACGGGAGGCAGCAGUGGGGAAUAUUGCACAAUGGGCGAAAGCCUGAUGCAGCGACGCCGCGUGAGGGAUGACGGCCUUCGGGUUGUAAACCUCUUUCAGUAGGGAAGAAGCGAAAGUGACGGUACCUGCAGAAGAAGCGCCGGCUAACUACGUGCCAGCAGCCGCGGUAAUACGUAGGGCGCAAGCGUUAUCCGGAAUUAUUGGGCGUAAAGAGCUCGUAGGCGGUUUGUCGCGUCUGCUGUGAAAGACCGGGGCUCAACUCCGGUUCUGCAGUGGGUACGGGCAGACUAGAGUGAUGUAGGGGAGACUGGAAUUCCUGGUGUAGCGGUGAAAUGCGCAGAUAUCAGGAGGAACACCGAUGGCGAAGGCAGGUCUCUGGGCAUUAACUGACGCUGAGGAGCGAAAGCAUGGGGAGCGAACAGGAUUAGAUACCCUGGUAGUCCAUGCCGUAAACGUUGGGCACUAGGUGUGGGGGACAUUCCACGUUUUCCGCGCCGUAGCUAACGCAUUAAGUGCCCCGCCUGGGGAGUACGGCCGCAAGGCUAAAACUCAAAGGAAUUGACGGGGGCCCGCACAAGCGGCGGAGCAUGCGGAUUAAUUCGAUGCAACGCGAAGAACCUUACCAAGGCUUGACAUGGACUAGUAACGCCUGGAGACAGGCGCCCCUCUUGAGGCUGGUUCACAGUGGUGCAUGGUUGUCGUCAGCUCGUGUCGUGAGAUGUUGGGUUAAGUCCCGCAAC
rnacentral:rRNA from 1 species